AGCCUGAGAGCGGCCAACACAGUGUUUUCGGCGACACCGAUUUUUCGCACUAGUGUACCUCAAGGGAGAAUACGGACACCAUAUGUCAGCGUUUUGAUUGGUUCCGCCAUGUUUGGGUCCGCUUCCGGUAAAGUUCCGUGAACAUUGCUAGGUAAAAGGCGGAGAAACAAGAAAUAUGAACUAAAGAAUCAGCUGAUUACGAUUAAAGUUAUAUGUCGUCUAUAACCCGCCAAUGGCAUUUAUGCUCGCUGCUAUAGAAAAAGAAAAAGAAGUGUACAUAGUGAAAGUGUGUUAAAAGAAAACAUAAAAUGCUUAAAUGUGUUGCAAAAAAUUGUAAGAGUGCAUUGACCAAGGGAAGUAAAAUGUGUUCUUUUCCAUAAGAAAAGGAAAUGCAAAUGUUGUGGAUAAGAAAUAUAGGUCGAAGUAACUGGCAGCUGAGAAAGGAUUCACGUGAGAACGCGCUAACAUAUACGCUGACAUAUACGCUUCUAAAUACGCGAGAUGUAGGUGCGCUUGUUAACGCUCGUAUGCAGAACGCAAGAACAGAGCACUAUUACCUAAAGACGCAAUGACAAUCAAUAAGAGUGCUCGUUUCCGAGCAGUAUGUAGCUAUUGGUUCUUUUCAUAUCGCGUAAUAUGGAUGUGGCAAGAGUACGAGACGCGCGUCGCCCAGCGAUGUUCAAAUGUCCGUUGACGAUUUUUGCGAAGUGGAGUGCUCUGAUAUAUUAUCAAAUUGUGUAUAAUGAGCGACAAGAGAAGGGAAAAUUUUUCUGCCGAAGAAAA